rnacentral:rRNA from 1 species
UACGUAGGGCGCAAGCGUUGUCCGGAAUUAUUGGGCGUAAAGAGCUCGUAGGCGGCUUGUCACGUCGGAUGUGAAAGCCCGAGGCCUAACCUCGGGUCUGCAUUCGAUACGGGCUAGCUAGAGUGUGGUAGGGGAGAUCGGAAUUCCUGGUGUAGCGGUGAAAUGCGCAGAUAUCAGGAGGAACACCGGUGGCGAAGGCGGAUCUCUGGGCCAUUACUGACGCUGAGGAGCGAAAGCGUGGGGAGCGAACAGG